rnacentral:lncRNA from 1 species
UUUUCGUAAAAUAUCUCUGAUUGCACGUUGCUCCUCAACCUAACUUAUUUUUGAUCUCAGACAGACACCUUUAAUUGUCAAUACCUAUAUAAACAUUGAUAAUGGCUGGUAGGAUCCUUCUUCGACGCAUGUUUACUGCAUUAGACAUAUAAUCAAAAUUUCACGCGAGAGAUCAAAGACAAAAUGUUGUGAAAGAAGGUUGUCAAUGCAGGGUACGCAUUAACAGAACCUUCUUUCAAAAACU